rnacentral:rRNA from 1 species
AUGAACGCUAGCUACAGGCUUAACACAUGCAAGUCGAGGGGCAGCAUGGUCUUAGCUUGCUAAGGCCGAUGGCGACCGGCGCACGGGUGAGUAACACGUAUCCAACCUGCCGUCUACUCUUGGACAGCCUUCUGAAAGGAAGAUUAAUACAAGAUGGCAUCAUGAGUCCACAUGUUCACAUGAUUAAAGGUAUUCCGGUAGACGAUGGGGAUGCGUUCCAUUAGAUAGUAGGCGGGGUAACGGCCCACCUAGUCUUCGAUGGAUAGGGGUUCUGAGAGGAAGGUCCCCCACAUUGGAACUGAGACACGGUCCAAACUCCUACGGGAGGCAGCAGUGAGGAAUAUUGGUCAAUGGGCGAGAGCCUGAACCAGCCAAGUAGCGUGAAGGAUGACUGCCCUAUGGGUUGUAAACUUCUUUUAUAAAGGAAUAAAGUCGGGUAUGCAUACCCGUUUGCAUGUACUUUAUGAAUAAGGAUCGGCUAACUCCGUGCCAGCAGCCGCGGUAAUACGGAGGAUCCGAGCGUUAUCCGGAUUUAUUGGGUUUAAAGGGAGCGUAGAUGGAUGUUUAAGUCAGUUGUGAAAGUUUGCGGCUCAACCGUAAAAUUGCAGUUGAUACUGGAUAUCUUGAGUGCAGUUGAGGCAGGCGGAAUUCGUGGUGUAGCGGUGAAAUGCUUAGAUAUCACGAAGAACUCCGAUUGCGAAGGCAGCCUGCUAAGCUGCAACUGACAUUGAGGCUCGAAAGUGUGGGUAUCAAACAGGAUUAGAUACCCUGGUAGUCCACACGGUAAACGAUGAAUACUCGCUGUUUGCGAUAUACGGCAAGCGGCCAAGCGAAAGCGUUAAGUAUUCCACCUGGGGAGUACGCCGGCAACGGUGAAACUCAAAGGAAUUGACGGGGGCCCGCACAAGCGGAGGAACAUGUGGUUUAAUUCGAUGAUACGCGAGGAACCUUACCCGGGCUUAAAUUGCAGAUGAAUUACGGUGAAAGCCGUAAGCCGCAAGGCAUCUGUGAAGGUGCUGCAUGGUUGUCGUCAGCUCGUGCCGUGAGGUGUCGGCUUAAGUGCCAUAACGAGCGCAACCCUUGUUGUCAGUUACUAACAGGUUCCGCUGAGGACUCUGACAAGACUGCCAUCGUAAGAUGUGAGGAAGGUGGGGAUGACGUCAAAUCAGCACGGCCCUUACGUCCGGGGCUACACACGUGUUACAAUGGGGGGUACAGAGGGCCGCUACCACGCGAGUGGAUGCCAAUCCCCAAAACCUCUCUCAGUUCGGACUGGAGUCUGCAACCCGACUCCACGAAGCUGGAUUCGCUAGUAAUCGCGCAUCAGCCACGGCGCGGUGAAUACGUUCCCGGGCCUUGUACACACCGCCCGUCAAGCCAUGGGAGCCGGGGGUGCCUGAAGUGCGUAACCGCGAGGAGCGCCCUAGGGUAAAACUGGUGACUGGGGCU